AUAUCUCUCCGUACGGGAAGGAUGAGAAGCUUCGACUAAGGUUCGAUUCGAGCGCAGCGAGAACGCGUUGCCGCAGGCAACGACCCGAAG
rnacentral:sRNA from 5 species